rnacentral:rRNA from 1 species
ACGGAAGGCAGCAGUGAGGAAUAUUGGUCAAUGGGCGGAAGCCUGAACCAGCCAAGUCACGUGAAGGAUGAAGGUAUUAUGUAUUGUAAACUUCUUUAGACGUAGAGAAAUAAGGGUGUCGAGACACCUGAUGCUAGUAUACGUAGAAUAAGGAUCGGCUAACUCCGUGCCAGCAGCCGCGGUAAUACGGAGGAUGCGAGCGUUAUCCGGAUUUAUUGGGUUUAAAGGGAGCGUAGGCGGAAGGUCAAGUCAGCUGUGAAAUGUAGUCGCUCAACGUCUGCACUGCAGUUGAAACUGGCCUCCUUGAGUGCGUAAGAGGCGGGCGGAAUUCGUCGUGUAGCGGUGAAAUGCUUAGAUAUGACGAAGAACUCCGAUUGCGAAGGCAGCUCGCUGGGCCGCAACUGACGCUGAAGCUCGAAGGUGCGGGUAUCAAACAGGAUUAGAUACCCUGGUA